AUUGAACGCUGGCGGCAUGCCUUACACAUGCAAGUCGAACGGCAGCACGGGGCAACCUGGUGGCGAGUGGCGAACGGGUGAGUAAUGCAUCGGAACGUACCUUUCAGUGGGGGAUAACGUAGCGAAAGUUACGCUAAUACCGCAUAUUCUGUGAGCAAGAAAGCAGGGGAUCGCAAGACCUUGCGCUGAUUGAGCGGCCGAUGUCAGAUUAGCUAGUUGGUGAGGUAAAGGCUCACCAAGGCGACGAUCUGUAGCGGGUCUGAGAGGAUGAUCCGCCACACUGGAACUGAGACACGGUCCAGCCUCCUACGGGAGGCAGCAGUGGGGAAUUUUGGACAAUGGGGGCAACCCUGAUCCAGCCAUGCCGCGUGAGUGAAGAAGGCCUUCGGGUUGUAAAGCUCUUUCGGCCGGGAAGAAAUCGCACGGGCUAAUACCCUGUGCGGAUGACGGUACCGGAAUAAGAAGCACCGGCUAACUACGUGCCAGCCGCCGCCGUAAAAC
rnacentral:rRNA from 1 species